GAUGAACGCUGGCGGCGUGCCUAAUACAUGCAAGUCGAGCGAACGGACGAGAAGCUUGCUUCUCUGAUGUUAGCGGCGGACGGGUGAGUAACACGUGGAUAACCUACCUAUAAGACUGGGAUAACUUCGGGAAACCGGAGCUAAUACCGGAUGAUAUUUUGAACCGCAUGGUUCAAAAGUGAAAGACGGUCUUGCUGUAACUUAUAGAUGGAUCCGCGCUGCAUUAGCUAGUUGGUAAGGUAACGGCUUACCAAGGCAACGAUGCAUAGCCGACCUGAGAGGGUGAUCGGCCACACUGGAACUGAGACACGGUCCAGACUCCUACGGGAGGCAGCAGUAGGGAAUCUUCCGCAAUGGGCGAAAGCCUGACGGAGCAACGCCGCAUGAGUGAUGAAGGUCUUCGGAUCGUAAAACUCUGUUAUUAGGGAAGAACAUAUGUGUAAGUAACUGUGCACAUCUUGACGGUACCUAAUCAGAAAGCCACGGCUAACUACGUG
rnacentral:rRNA from 1 species